rnacentral:rRNA from 1 species
UACGAAGGGGGCUAGCGUUGCUCGGAAUCACUGGGCGUAAAGGGUGCGUAGGCGGGUUUUUAAGGCAGGGGUGAAAUCCUGGAGCUCAACUCCAGAACUGCCUUUGAUACUGAAGAUCUUGAGUCCGGGAGAGGUGAGUGGAACUGCGAGUGUAGAGGUGAAAUUCGUAGAUAUUCGCAAGAACACCAGUGGCGAAGGCGGCUCACUGGCCCAGUACUGACGCUGAGGCACGAAAGCGUGGGGAGCAAACAGG